GACGAACGCUGGCGGCGUGCUUAACACAUGCAAGUCGAACGGAAAGGCCCUGCUUUUGUGGGGUGCUCGUGUGGCGAACGGGUGAGUAACACGUGAGUAACCUGUCCUUGACUGUGGGGUAACUUCAGGAAACUGGGGCUAUUAUCGGAUAUGAGCUCCUGAUGCAUGGUGGGGGUGGGAAAGUUUCGGCGGUUGGGGAUGGACUCGCGGCUUAUCAGCUUGUUGGUGGGGUAGUGGCUUACCAAGGCUUUGCCGGGUAGCCGGCCUGAGAGGGUGACCGGCCACAUUGGGACUGAGAUACGGCCCAGACUCCAACGGGAGGCAGCGGUGGAGAAUAGUGCACUAUAGGCGGAAGCAAGAUGCAACACCGCCGCGUGCGGGAUGACGGCCUUCGGGUUGGAAACCGCUUUCGCCUGUGAAGAGGCGUGAGUGACGGUAAUUGGUAAAGAAGCACCGGCUAACUACGUG
rnacentral:rRNA from 1 species